AACGAACGCUGGCGGCAGGCCUAACACAUGCAAGUCGAGCGCCCGGAUUUAUCCGGGAGCGGCGCACGGGUGAGUAACGCGUGGGAACAUGCCCUGGAGUACGGAACAACCUGGGGAAACCUUGGCUAAUACCGUAUACGCCCUGAGGGGGAAAGAUUUAUCGCUUUGGGAUUGGCCCGCGUUGGAUUAGCUGGUUGGUGUGGUAACGGCGCACCAAGGCGACGAUCCAUAACUGGUCUGAGAGGAUGACCAGUCCACACUGGGACUGAGACACGGCCCAGACUCCUACGGGAGGCAGAAGUGGGGAAUAUUGGACAAUGGGCGAAAGCCUGAUCCAGCCAUGCCGCGUGAGUGAAGAAGGCCUUCGGGUUGUAAAGCUCUUUCAGCGGGGACGAUGAUGACGGUACCCGCAGAAGAAGCCCCGGCUAACUUCGUGCCAGCCGCCGCCGUAA
rnacentral:rRNA from 1 species